rnacentral:tRNA from 1 species
GGCUUGUGGCUCAGUGGUACAGCGCUCGCCUAGCAUCUGUGAGGCACUGGGUUUGAUCCUCAGUACCA